CUCUAAGCCAUGUCAAGCUGAAAAUGAAGAUCAGCCGUCAGUCUGAGUUGGUGGCUUCCCAGUCAAUAAAUAAAUCAAGAGAGCACACCGAUGCAUCUACUCAGGACGUCCCCAGGAAGGAACUGGUGUCACAAAGAGAGGACACCACCAGAGCUUUAAUCUCAUGCUUUCUUCAAGCUAUCUUAUCUUUUUACGAGUGUGAUUUAGUUUUGGAAUUAAAAGUUUGAAAAACAAAA